rnacentral:rRNA from 1 species
AGUGAACGCUGGCGGCGUGCCUAAUACAUGCAAGUCGAACGGAGAUUCAGUAGCUUGCUAUUUAAUCUUAGUGGCGCACGGGUGAGUAAUAUAUAGCUAACUUGCCCAUUACUAAGGGACAACAGUUGGAAACGCCUGCUAAUACCUUAUACUCCGUAUCUAUAUAAGUAGAUACGGGAAAGUUUUUCGGUAAUGGAUAGGGCUAUAUCGUAUCAGCUAGUUGGUAAGGUAAUGGCUUACCAAGGCUAUGACGCGUAACUGGUCUGAGAGGAUGAUCAGUCACACUGGAACUGAGACACGGGCCAGACUCCUACGGGAGGCAGCAGUAGGGAAUAUUGCUCAAUGGGGGAAACCCUGAAGCAGCAACGCCGCGUGGAGGAUGACACUUUUCGGAGCGUAAACUCCUUUUCUUGGGAAAGAAUUAUGACGGUACCCAAGGAAUAAGCACCGGCUAACUACGUG